AUGAACGCUGGCGGCGUGCCUAAUACAUGCAAGUCGAGCGAACAGACGAGGAGCUUGCUCCUCUGACGUUAGCGGCGGACGGGUGAGUAACCCGUGGAUAACCUACCUAUAAGACUGGGAUAACUUCGGGAAACCGGAGCUAAUACCGGAUAAUAUAUUGAACCGCAUGGUUCAAUAGUGAAAGACGGUUUUGCUGUCACUUAUAGAUGGAUCCGCGCCGCAUUAGCUAGUUGGUAAGGUAACGGCUUACCAAGGCAACGAUGCGUAGCCGACCUGAGAGGGUGAUCGGCCACACUGGAACUGAGACGCGGUCCAGACUCCUACGGGAGGCAGCAGUAGGGAAUCUUCCGCAAUGGGCGAAAGCCUGACGGAGCAACGCCGCGUGAGUGAUGAAGGUCUUCGGAUCGUAAAACUCUGUUAUUAGGGAAGAACAAAUGUGUAAGUAACUAUGCACGUCUUGACGGUACCUAAUCAGAAAGCCACGGCUAACUACGUG
rnacentral:rRNA from 1 species